rnacentral:tRNA from 1 species
GCCCUGGUAGUGCAAUGGUUAAGCACUUGGCUGCCAACUGAAAGGUUGGUGGUUUGAACCCACCUUGUGGCU